AUAAUACUUUUGGCGGAAAGAUUAAAACGAUUACCAAACGAUUAAAACGCCUAGUGUGUAACUGGCUUUACGUAGCCGACCAUCAAUCGACCGAUUUUGUUCGAGAUGAAAAUCUGCAACCUUCGCAAUUCGCCGCAGCAGUUAUCACGGGCGAUUGUCGAAUUAUUUGAAUACAAAUAAAAUUAUUAAAUCAAAUGCCUUAUCUCGACGUCUUCGUUUCUUUAUCGCGACAUUUUUUUCUUUCCAGUUAUUUAUCAAUAAUUUAAAUAUUACAUGACGCAAUUUGCGGUUUUUUUUAAAUAGCUUAUUGAAUUAUAACAUUUUAUCAAUAAUUUCGCUGAACUUCUGUUUGCAGAUGAUGGUCGGGACGAUUAUAGUUUGUCCGAGAAAUACGCAUUUAACGAUAUUAUUAUAAGAAAAAUAAUAAAAAUGAUUUCCUACCAGUCGAGACACGAGAUCCAAUUUACUGUCAACAGCAAUACAUAUAAUAUAGAGUUUCUACAUUUAUACGAUGAUCGAGUACCUGUAGGAUAAUGAUGUUCGGACAACCGUUUACUAUUUGUUGAUCAUCUCGACGUAAACUAUAUAUACAGUUGAUCGAGUAUAAUAUAUCAUUAUGAUUACUCAUAUUAUUUUCUAUUUAUUUGAUUAAUUUUAAUGUAAAAAAAAAAAAAAAAAAACCAUUUCAUAUAGACUGAUAGAUAACUACAUAGCAGACGGUUAACUAAGUAACCCUUAGUGUCAAAUUCGGGCGUAACUAGAAGCUCUCUUAAUUGUAUGGGUAUUACGAUAAUUAAUAAUCUAGAUAAUGACGUACAGUGUCUAAUAAAAAAAUACAUG